GUAGCGCAAUGGAUAGCCCUUUGGACUUCUAAUCUAAAAAUCGUGGGUUCAAAUCCCUCUUCGUCA